UCACCGCUUACGCGGGCAGUCUCAUUAGAGUCCCCAGCAUAACCUGUUGGCAACUAAUGAUAGGGGUUGCGCUCGUUGCGGGACUUAACCCAACACCUCACGGCACGAGCUGACGACGGCCAUGCAGCACCUAGUUUCGUGCAAUUGCUUGCUGACCUAUUUCUAAAUCAUUCACUAACUUUCAAGCCCUGGUAAGGUUCCUCGCGUAUCAUCGAAUUAAACCACAUGCUCCUCCGCUUGUGCGGGCCCCCGUCAAUUCCUUUGAGUUUCAGUCUUGCGACCGUACUCCCCAGGUGGAUUACUUAACGCUUUAGCUGUGACGCGUACGGUAUAUUGCACACAUCUAGUAAUCAUCGUUUAGGGCGUGGACUAC
rnacentral:misc_RNA from 1 species